CACAGAUCGACUGCAGCCGCAGAUAAGAUGGCCACUGCUUUAUCUUCUGGUAUUGACGAAAUCAGGCCUCCUGAUAUCACAAAAUCAUCAGAUGUUGAAGAACGAUAGUUGCCUGUUCAGAGGAUUUCGGUAUCAUCAUCCAGGGUGUUGAAGAGCAAUCUCGUUUCAGUUUUUGAAAGAGAUACUAUAGCUAUCAUCCUGGUGCAUCGGACGCUGAAGGUGAUGCAGGGCAUCUGUGAAACUGCACGUGGCCCGUACAAGCUAAACCAUUAAUACAAAGAAUAGGAGAAAGCUUCAAGUGGUCCAUACAAGCUAAACCAUGAUCUGGAUCAAAAGUACAGUGAGUCUCCUACAAUUGUGCAGUUCUGGGACGAGUCACACAAGAACAAAAACACAGAUGAGUGGGCAUCUGAGAGGGCUUGGUUGAUUGGGAUGCGAGAGAUAUUAGCAACAAAACAAGCCACGGGGGAAGCAUCUCAUGAUUGGGAAUUUGGAAUUCAGC